AACUUUUAGCAAUGGAUCACUUGGCUCUCGCAUCGAUGAAGAACGCAGAGAAAUGCGAUAAGUAAUGUGAAUUACAGAAUUCAGUCAAUCAUCGAAUCUUUGAACGCACCUUGCACCCUUUGGCAUUCCGAAGGGUAUGCUCGUUUGAGUGUCAUUGUACUCUCACACUCCCGAUGCUUUUUGGAUCGGGAGCGGUGGACUUGGGUGUUGCUGCUUAACUGCGGCUCGCCUCAAAUGGAGUAGUGCAACUCUCGGUUGGACAUAGUACGGCGUGAUAAGUGUCUUCGCCGGCGCCUCUUUAGAGGGUGGCCGAGCGGGAGCUCUGUGCUUCAAACCGUCUUCGGACAACAUCUGACAACUUGACCUCAAAUCGAGUAGGACUACCCGCUGAACUUAAGCAUAUCAAUAAGCGGAGGCU
rnacentral:misc_RNA from 1 species